AUCAGCUACAGUCUGGAACUUGCUUCUUUUGGGGAAUUCAUUAAAAGAAUCCUUGAAUGCAGGUUUCUGAUAACUUUGGAGAUUUUGCCAUUGGGCUAGAGAGAAAACUUCCAGGAUAUUAAUUGAAAAGCUGAUGUGUUCUUAAAGAUUACUAACCCAAUAUGAAGCAGAGUGGGAGUUGAUUGCAUGGACUGAGCUAAUGGAGGACAGAAAUAAUUUUUAUGGUUUUUUUUUUUUUUUUUUGGUUCUUUGAAACAUUGCUGAUUCUUUUUGUUUUGUUUUUCAGAGUCUGGACAACACUUUUUCUUUUGAGCUGUUUACAACCUCUAGCAAUUGAGUAGAGUGUACUCUUGUAAAUAGAAUUUGAAGCACAUUUCUUUCUCUGCCUGAUUUCUCUAGAAUUUGUAAACUAUUUGUGAAUAUUCUUAAUUUAUGGCAAUAUGGUUGCUUACAUAAGUUCAAUAAUAAUCUGUUUUCUUUUACAAUGAGACACAGUUGGAGGAACUGGUUAUUUUCCCAGGGCUUUGACUGAAAUGGCCUUGUGAAUGGUUCCAGGAAAGCCAAUUUUGGAGACCCUAUGUGGAUGAUGAUGCUUGCUGUACUUUCUGUGGGUAAUCGGGCCAAGUAUAUGGGACCGAAGCUAAUUUUGCAGGUGAGAAAAUGGAGGUCCAGAGAGAAAAGUGACUCACCCAAGCUGAAAACAGUUGCAGGAAGAAAAGCCAGGACAGAACUGGGCUGUUAGAAACCUUGGAGUACACUAAAGAUGAGGAACUGAGUCACCGCAAUGCCAAAUGUAACACGUUGUGGGUCAAAAUUUGGAUGGUUGCGUUGGAAAUUAUUCUGAAGCCACAGACAGGGCUAAAAGAGUCUAGAAUGUCCUACUAGCUGUUGGAACCUGCUGGAGUUCUAAAGGCAUGCAAUAUCCUGAAUGUGCUUGACCGAUGGACACAGCAGGUAUUUGAAGAGUUUUGAUGCUUCCUUUCUGUUUUCAGUGCUAUUUUUUGCUUUACUUCUUUUAAAAAAACUUUCCCCACAGAGGCUAUUUAUUACACAGCAGCAGCCAGCAUGCACCAAGCAGAACUGCUUUUCAUAAUAAACCUAUUUAUCUUCUGGCAUGUCAGAAAUUUCUCAAAUUGAUACUUAUAAUAAAUAUGAUUAAUAACACAUUG
rnacentral:sRNA from 1 species